UUUCACAGCAAAGAGGAGGUUGAAAAGAGGCAGAACCGAAAGUCACAAGAGCAAAACAGAGCAACAAAAUGUAGAGAGAAGAGAUCAAACACCUCGCCACCUCCAUAUUUCACCCAUAACCUCUACAAAUCACCACCACCAUUUUCUAUCAAUAAAAAUCACCAUAACCUAUAACUAAAAAACCAGCAAAUGAAAACCAAAUAAACUGAUCAGAGAUGAAGAGAAGAGGAUAGACACAGCCACCGCCGUUUCUGGACUACCACCGCACAUCACCACCAUCUCCGGCCGGAACUUCCACCGUCGCAGCCCCACACCACUUCAACUCAACGGCCAGUCUUCUCUCUCUUACUCUUUCUCUGUAUCUCUAUCUUUAUUGGUUUAUCCUGAUUGAGAAACAACGUAACGCCUUGUUACUGGUUGCCGGUUGGUCAUAGCAGAAGAAACUCUAGGUCUACUUUCUUACUUUUAUGUAUUUUUAUUUAAUUUUAAUAUCUUUUUUCAUUGUUUUAACCUUGCAAUUUGGGCUCAGCCCACAUGUAUAAAAAUUAGGUUUAUAGGUUUACUGCACCUUCCAAACAAAAAGAGAAAAAUCAAUUAAAAUAAAAAAACAAAAAAUAUAAAUUCAAAGUAACUUUUUUUUUUAGGCUUAAUCGGUUGGACAUCUCUUUAGUUUUUUAAAGAGAAAUUGGUGAGAGAGAAAUUGAAGAGAAAUGUCUAUUUUCUCUUAAUUGGUUUGGUGAGAAAUAGGAAAGAGAGAAUAAAUUUAUGUGAGCCCAAUUACUUUUUAUGGUCUCUCCAAGAAUGAGAAGAAAAGGAGAAGAGAAGCCAAUUUUUACUCAAUUCCAUUAUUACCCUUGCAUCUUCUUCCCUUAUCUAGUUUGUCGCUGGGUUUUGUUUUUCUUUUAACAGGAGUGCUUUGCUCCAUUUCCAUUUUCAUUACUCUUGCAUCUUCUUCCCCUAUCCUAUAUAUGCCUUUUUUUGGUGUUGUUUUAUUGCAUUUCUAUAACAAAUUCCUUUCGAUUCUACCGACAAUGAUCAUGAUCAAAAUACAAUUUCCGAUGUUUUUAUUUUAUUUCUUUGGCCAUUUAUCUUUUUUUUUUUUACGGUUGAUAAAAAAAUUAAUUUUAUAUUGGCUGUCUAUUUCAAAGAUAAAUGUAAUUUAUAAACCAAUCAAAACUAAUUAAUUAAUUAAUUAAUUAAAUGAUGAAUUGAAUAAAAAAAUUAAAUUAAUUUUGGUUAAGGUGCUUUUAAUUCAAUGGCAUUUUUGUACUUUCAAAAACAAUCAACACUUCUCUCUUCUCAAUUUCUCUCAUUUUUCUCUUAUACUAAUCAAUACACUAAAUCUACUCUAAUUCUCACCUCUUUCUCUCUUCUCUUACUCUCUCUCUCACCUAUUUCUCUCUUCUCACUUUCUCUCGACAACUAAACAUACCAUUAAUGUGAGAGAUGAGAGGGUUGAAUCACAACCCUUGGAUCAAAUCAAAUGCCAACAAUUUUUUACAGCUGCUCACACACAAUUAGUCUCACAUCGUGUCUUUCUCUCUCUCGGUUACUCAAAAAUGACUUCUCCACUUCUUACCAUUGAUGCAUCAUCUGUGUUCUUUCUUCUUAAAAAAAAAUCAUGACUUUUAAAUUGAAAAAUGAAACAACUUAAAUUGAAUGGAAAGAUGCAUCAACUUCCUCAUCUUCUUCCCGUGUUCUGUUUUCAAACACCAACAAUCACCACAUCUUCAGUUGCGACUUUGUACUGACAAACCCAUAAAUUGCUUAAUAGGAAGUAGCAAAUUUUUUUUAAGCUUAAUAAGAGGACACAAAGUAGAUCAUCUAAUUUACCAAUAUCACUUAAAAAUUGAAAAACGCAUAAAUUCCCAUCUUUUCCCUUUAUGAUUGACUCAAACUGCGUAGUACCAAAUUUGAAAGAAACAAAUUGUUCACCAUAAAAUUGGUCCAAUUUCAUAGAAUUUCCUUAGAAUAUUCUAAUUAUUUUCUAUGUACCAAUUCUCAUUGGGAAUAAAAGUGAAAUUGUAGAGAGAGUGACGGAUUCUCACUUCUCAUGCCUAUAAUCUUCCAACAGAAAGUUAAACUAUUUCACAAUGAAUCUUCUCACUUCUCAUGCCUAUAAUCAACCACUACAUCCAGGCAUACAAAUUAUUUAAUCUCGUGGCUGACAUUUAACCCUCUCACUAUCUCAUUUUAAAAUUCAUCUUAUUUGAAAGUCUCCCUCAGUGAGGUCUAAGUUAGCAAGGUGCACCUUUUUCCUUUGAACAUAAAUAUCCUUCUUUCACAAUUUUAAUUAAAUUUAAAAUGAAGGGUAAUUUGAUAGUUUUACAAAAAAAACACAAAACCCUUUCAUCAUUCCUUAAAAUUCUCAACCAAUUAUUUUCCGAUCACUAUCAUCUUCAUCUUCUUACCGUGGCCAUUGUUGCAAUCUAAACAAUACUCCAUGUUACACUAAUUUCUAGCUGCGUCAGCGUGAAUCCAACACGUAUUCUCAACCAAUUAUUGAAUAUAAAACCCAUAAGCAACUAAAUAAAUAAAAAAUCAAGAGGAGAACAAAGAAGAUGACAAAACAAAGCGAUAAAAAAAUCUGCAAUUACAAUUAUUCUACAAAUAAAGAACAAAGAAUAUGAUAGCUUUGAUUGCAAUUGCAG
rnacentral:lncRNA from 1 species